ACUGGAAUCAGUAUUGCCAACAUUAGGCUUACAUUAUAAUAGGCUGGGGUAGCGUCAGCAAAACUCUUUUCACAUCUAUGCUUAAUUUGGUUGAGAUCGUCAGUAUUUUUGAUAGGAGGUGAAAGAAAUCUACAGACAUCAUGUGAACUAGAAUCUAAAAUAAGCAUUCUUAUGCUUAAAAUUGGAUUACAAUCAUUGCAUCAAAGAUGUGCUUGAAUCUGGCGAAUUUACGUUCAGAGCACAUGGUCUGAGGAGGAUGGAAAGAAGAAAAGUUUUGGAAAGAUAAUUCAACUCUACUGGAUUAUAGAAAUUAUAUAUGAUAUAUGAGGUUCCAUAGGCUUCAUUCAAAUUGUGGACAAUUCAGUACAAGAAUUAUAAAGUUAUUAAAAGAAUAAAAU